rnacentral:rRNA from 1 species
AGUGAACGCUGGCGGUAGGCCUAACACAUGCAAGUCGAACGGCAGCACAGUAAGAGCUCGCUCUUACGGGUGGCGAGUGGCGGACGGGUGAGGAAUACAUCGGAAUCUACUUUUUCGUGGGUGAUAACGUAGGGAAACUUACGCUAAUACCGCAUACGACCUACGGGUGAAAGCAGGGGAUCUUCGGACCUUGCGCGAUUGAAUGAGCCGAUGUCGGAUUAGCUAGUUGGGGGGGUAAAGGCCCACCAAGGCGACGAUCCGUAGCAGGUCUGAGAGGAUGAUCAGCCACACUGGAACUGAGACACGGUCCAGACUCCUACGGGAGGCAGCAGUAGGGAAUAUUCGACAAUGGGCGCAAGCCUGACCCAGCCAUACCGCGUGGGUGAAGAAGGCCUUCGGGUUGUAAAGCCCUUUUGUUGGGAAAGAAAAGCAGCGGGUUAAUACCCCGAUGUUCUGACGGUACCCAAAGAAUAAGCACCGGCUAACUUCGUG